rnacentral:lncRNA from 1 species
CAUUUUUGCUCCCCAUGGACACGCUUGUCUCAGAUUUUUUAAAACGCCAAGGGUGGGAGGCAGCAUGAUGCAGAAAGGGCAGAAAACGUAAGGGCUGGAUUUGGGGACCCUUACUAGACACCUUGGGGCAUGCAGCACAGUGCAGGCCCACAGGCACAUGUGCUGGGGUGAGGCACCAGUCAUGAAAGCCAAGUCCACCGAGGUCCUGGGAAACAAGGUCUCAGCACAGGCGGAGAAACUGGGAGCCUGGAAAAGGGAAAGAAGUUGGUCCACACUGCACAGGGAUCUCCCCUUCUCACAGAGGCUCAGGCCCGGCGUCCCCGCGGGAAGCACUUAGACAACCAAACACCUGAACAGGACGUUUCUCCCAGUCAGGCUGGACACGCUGGAGAGUUAGGAGGGCCAAGGGCGAGACCAGCUC